ensembl:lncRNA
UGCAGCUACCUGGUUAUUAUGCUUGACUUAUAAUGAAAGCUGGGUCUGAUCACAUGGUUGAAAUGCCAACAAUUAAUAUUCUGUUUUUAUGCUGACAUUCUACCAGAUGCCGAGAAAAAAUAAAAGAUCCCAGGCACAAAAGAAGCGCUGGAAACCACUUGACCUGGUCGAUCCUGCUGUCCCAAUGCUCACUGGCCACAACCAAGAUGAGGCAGUCAGUAGUUUUCCAUCUGUCCAGCAGACAGCACCAGCCAGGUUAUCCUUGGAAACACAGGAUAGACCCACCUCCUUAUGUUCCCCAGGUAUCAAGCAGACAGCACCAGCCAGCUUGUCCUUGGAAACGGAGAAUAGACCCACCUCCUUAUGUCCUCCAGGCAGCAAGAUUUCAGACACUCGUCCACCAGCAAAACGAGUCUGGGCAACUGAUGAUUUCCACACGGCAUCAAAUUCUCCACCUAAAAAGCUUUUCCACAACAUAAAUGAACAACUACUGACAGAGGAGCUACAGAGAAACACAGUUCAGCACUUCUGGUGUGUCAGUGCAACUCAUUGUCAAAGUGAUGAAAGGUACACAGAAUUCUCUCGAAAUCAUCAGUGUACAUGUAAUGCCCUCACAUUCCUGGCCUACCUUAAUGAGGAACACCAGUUCAACACAGCCCGACUUGAUAAGGUGCUUGAACAGGGAGAUGCACUCUACUGUUGGAUUAAAACAAAUCUUCAGCAGGAGAGGCGUUAUACACAAGAUCAUCUGACCAUGGAGGACCUGCCCAAAGAAGUUCAUGCUGACAUAAAUGUCUACAGUGUGAAAAUGGACAACAUAAGGUAUGGAUACCUGAAAGCAGCAGACAAAACUUACCAAAGAAAAGAGUGGUGGUUGCCUCUUGCUAGUCGCCUUGUAUGUCUGUCAACAGAUGUGAACUAUGCUUUGCUCAUGGUUUCACCUCUGUGCAUUGCAGUUUUCCGUGACAAAUCUGGGAGGUAUGGAUUAUUUGAUUCACAUUCAAGAAGUGCAGCAGGUUUACCCCAGCCAAAUGGAACAGCAGUCAUGCUCACUUUCACUCAUGUGAAUGACCUGAUCAACCACCUGCAUAACCUUUUUCAAAAUCAAGGCAGGUAUGCAAGAUAUGAGUUUGUGCCUGUCUCUUUCAAAAGAGUCAGCACUCACAAUGAACAGCCUGCACAGUCAACUCGGGCAACAGGAGCAACAGCUACAUGUAACGCAAAGUUAUUUAAGGGCUAGUGUUAUUGCAAUGGACGAGUUUAUUGACUGACGCGCAGAAGAAAUGGUUCUUUAUGGAGCCUAGAUGGUGUGAAUGAUGAAACCAAAGACUGUAGUAUCUUGUACCAAAAAUAUAUUGAAUAAAUGGGGGAAAGGGGAAAUGGACCAAAAUAAUCAAUACAACACACAACAUAAAUAAAUGCCCACAAUCAAAUAAUUGUGUAACAAAUAAUAAAUCAAUUGCUGUGAUUUUCUGUGCAAGAGUCCUUUUGUUAAGAGUCCUUUUCGGUUUCUUUUUAAAGUUCACUUUUUAAGGUAUUCCUCCUUAGGGUCCAGUUUCAUACAAUGGGGAAAAAAAAAUAUGUCCGUAAUCCAUAGACGGCAAAGCGG